GAAAUGACUGCUAAAACCGCAUAAGCGCACAUUGUCGAGUGACAGAGUGUGAAAAACUCCGGUGGUAUGAGAUGGACCCGCGUCUGAUUAGCUAGUUGGUGAGGUAACGGCCCACCAAGGCGACGAUCAGUAGCCGGCCUGAGAGGGCGACCGGCCACAUUGGGACUGAGACACGGCCCAAACUCCUACGGGAGGCAGCAGUGGGGAAUAUUGCACAAUGGGGGAAACCCUGAUGCAGCGACGCCGCGCGAGUGAAGAAGUAUUUCGGUAUGUAAAGCUCUAUCAGCAGGGAAGAAGAAAGACGGUACCUGACUAAGAAGCCCCGGCUAACUACGUGCCAGCAGCCGCGGUAAUACGUAGGGGGCAAGCGUUAUCCGGAUUUACUGGGUGUAAAGGGAGCGUAGACGGCUGUGCAAGUCUGAAGUGAAAGCCCAGGGCUCAACCCUGGGACUGCUUUGGAAACUGUGGAGCUAGAGUGCUGGAGAGGUAAGCGGAAUUCCUAGUGUAGCGGUGAAAUGCGUAGAUAUUAGGAGGAACACCAGUGGCGAAGGCGGCUUACUGGACAGUAACUGACGUUGAGGCUCGAAAGCGUGGGGAGCAAACAGGAUUAGAUACCCUGGUAGUCC
rnacentral:rRNA from 1 species